UACGAAGGGUGCAAGCGUUACUCGGAAUUACUGGGCGUAAAGCGUGCGUAGGCGGUUCGUUAAGUCUGUCGUGAAAGCCCUGGGCUCAACCUGGGAAUUGCGAUGGAUACUGGCGAGCUAGAGUACGGUAGAGGAUGGUGGAAUUCCCGGUGUAGCGGUGAAAUGCGCAGAUAUCAGGAGGAACACCAAUGGCGAAGGCAGCUUACUAAAUUAUAACUGACGCUGAGGCACGAAAGUGUGGGUAUCAAACAGG
rnacentral:rRNA from 1 species